rnacentral:rRNA from 1 species
AAUGCAGUACGGAACCGGUAACCCCGGAAGGGUGGGGGAAGUUAACGUAGACGAAAGUUACGCUAAUACCGCAUAUUCUGUGAGCAGAAAGCGGGGGAUCGCAAGACCUCGCGCUUCCGGAGCGGCCGAUGUCGGAUUAGCUAGUUGGCGGGGUAAAGGCCCACCAAGGCAACGAUCCGUAGCGGGUCUGAGAGGAUGAUCCGCCACACUGGGGACUGAGACACGGCCCAGACUCCUACGGGGAGGCAGCAGUGGGAAUUUUGGACAAUGGGCGCAAGCCUGAUCCAGCCAUGCCGCGUGAGUGAAGAAGGCCUUCGGGUUGUAAAGCUCUUUCGGCUGGGAAGAAAUCGCAUCUCCUAAUACGGGGUGUGGAUGACGGUACCAGCAUAAGAAGCACCGGCUAACUACGUGCCAGCAGCCGCGGUAAUACGUAGGGUGCGAGCGUUAAUCGGAAUUACUGGGC